rnacentral:rRNA from 1 species
UUGACAUCCACAGAACCCUGUAGAGAUACGGGGGUGCCUUCGGGAACUGUGAGACAGGUGCUGCAUGGCUGUCGUCAGCUCGUGUUGUGAAAUGUUGGGUUAAGUCCCGCAACGAGCGCAACCCUUAUCCUUUGUUGCCAGCGGUCCGGCCGGGAACUCAAAGGAGACUGCCAGUGAUAAACUGGAGGAAGGUGGGGAUGACGUCAAGUCAUCAUGGCCCUUACGACCAGGGCUACACACGUGCUACAAUGGCGCAUACAAAGAGAAGCGACCUCGCGAGAGCAAGCGGAUCUCAUAAAGUGCGUCGUAGUCCGGAUUGGAGUCUGCAACUCGACUCCAUGAAGUCGGAAUCGCUAGUAAUCGUGGAUCAGAAUGCCACGGUGAAUACGUUCCCGGGCCUUGUACACACCGCCCGUCACACCAUGGGAGUGGGUUGCAAAAGAAGUAGGUAGCUUAACCUUCGGGAGGGCGCUUACCACUUUGUGAUUCAUGACUGGGGUGAAGUCGUAACAAGGUAACCGUAGGGGAACCUGCGGUUGGAUCACCUCCUUACCUUAAAGAAGC